rnacentral:rRNA from 1 species
CUGAAUGUUGACCUCGGAUCAGGUAGGAAUACCCGCUGAACUUAAGCAUAUAAACGGGGGAGAGGGGAA